AAGACUAUAUUUUCAGGGAUCAUUUCUAUAGUUGGUGACUAGAGAAGUAUGUCUGAAAGUGAUUGGUCUCGCUAGCCAUGAGGAUGAGCUAUGGUGGUCUCCCCUGAGCAUGAAGCAGGUGGGUGGUGUUGUUGUUGUGCAGCACUACUUGUCAUUGAUGAGUGCUCCAUCCCUUUAAGGGCUGGAGGGGAAGAACACGGUCUGAGUGGU
rnacentral:snoRNA from 1 species